GACGAACGCUGGCGGCGUGCUUAACACAUGCAAGUCGAACGAAGAGCGACGGAAGCUUGCUUCUAUCAAUCUUAGUGGCGAACGGGUGAGUAACGCGUAAUCAACCUGCCCUUCAGAGGGGGACAACAGCUGGAAACGACUGCUAAUACCGCAUACGAUCUAAUCUCGGCAUCGAGGAGGGAUGAAAGGUGGCCUCUACAUGUAAGCUAUCACUGAAGGAGGGGAAUGCGUCUGAUUAGCUAGUUGGAGGGGUAACGGCCCACCAAGGCGAUGAUCAGUAGCCGGUCUGAGAGGAUGGACGGCCACAUUGGGACUGAGACACGGCCCAGACUCCUACGGGAGGCAGCAGUGGGGAAUCUUCCGCAAUGGACGAAAGUCUGACGGAGCCACGCCGCGUGAGUGAUGACGGCCUUCGGGUUGUAAAGCUCUGUUAAUCGGGACGAAAGGCCUUCUUGCGAAUAGUGAGAAGGAUUGACGGUACCGGAAUAGAAAGCCACGGCUAACUACGUG
rnacentral:rRNA from 1 species